rnacentral:rRNA from 1 species
GAUGAACGCUAGCUACAGGCUUAACACAUGCAAGUCGAGGGGUAACGAGAGGGAAGCUUGCUUUCCUUGUCGACGACCGGCGCACGGGUGAGUAACGCGUAUCCAACCUGCCCCCAACUAGGGAAUAACCUUGCGAAAGUAAGACUAAUACCCUAUAAUUUCCUCAGAUGUCAUCUGACGAGGAAUAAAGAUUUAUCGGUUGUGGAUGGGGAUGCGUCUGAUUAGCUUGUUGGCGGGGUAACGGCCCACCAAGGCAACGAUCAGUAGGGGUUCUGAGAGGAAGGUCCCCCACAUUGGAACUGAGACACGGUCCAAACUCCUACGGGAGGCAGCAGUGAGGAAUAUUGGUCAAUGGGCGUAAGCUUGAACCAGCCAAGUAGCGUGCAGGAUGACGGCCCUAUGGGUUGUAAACUGCUUUUAUACAGGAAUAAAGUUAGCCACGUGUGGUUAUUUGUAGGUACUGUAUGAAUAAGGACCGGCUAAUUCCGUGCCAGCCGCCGCAGUAA